GGUGCAUGGUUGUCGUCAGCUCGUGUCGUGAGAUGUUGGGUUAAGUCCCGCAACGAGCGCAACCCCUAUUGUUAGUUGCCAUCAUUCAGUUGGGCACUCUAGCGAGACUGCCGGUAAUAAACCGGAGGAAGGUGGGGAUGACGUCAAAUCAUCAUGCCCCUUAUGACCUGGGCUACACACGUGCUACAAUGGUUGGUACAACGAGUUGCGAGUCGGUGACGGCGAGCUAAUCUACUUAAAGCCAAUCUCAGUUCGGAUUGUAGGCUGCAACUCGCCUACAUGAAGUCGGAAUCGCUAGUAAUCGCGGAUCAGCACGCCGCGGUGAAUACGUUCCCGGGCCUU
rnacentral:rRNA from 1 species